UUUCGCAAUGCCCGAAAGGGUGACGAAGCGACGCCGCGUGGGUGAGGAAGGCCCUCGGGUUGUAAAGCCCUGUCAGGAGUUAAGAAAUGUAGAUUCGCUAACAUCGGGUCUAUUUGACGAAGGCCCCAAAGGAAGCCACGGCUAACUCUGUGCCAGCAGCCGCGGUAAUACAGAGGUGGCAAGCGUUGUUCGGAAUUAUUGGGCGUAAAGAGCACGUAGGUGGAUUUGUAAGUCAGAUGUGAAAGCCUUCUGUUCAACGGGAGAAUUGCAUCUGAAACUACAGACCUUGAGUAUAGGAGGGGAGAAUGGAACUUCUGGUGGAGCGGUGAAAUGCGUAGAUAUCAGAAGGAACGCCGGCGGCGAAAGCGAUUCUCUGGCCUAUUACUGACACUCAGUGUGCGAAAGCUAGGGGAGCAAACGGGAUUAGAUACCCCGGUAGUCCUAGCCGUAAACGAUGGGCACUAAGUAGAGGGGUUUU
rnacentral:rRNA from 1 species